UACGUAGGGACCGAGCGUUGUCCGGAUUCAUUGGGCGUAAAGAGCUCGUAGGCGGCCACUCAAGUCGAAUGUGAAACCUCGAGGCUUAACCUCGAGCCUGCAUUCGAUACUGGGCGGCUAGAGUCUGGUAGGGGGAUCUGGAAUUCCUGGUGUAGCGGUGGAAUGCGCAGAUAUCAGGAGGAACACCGGUGGCGAAGGCGGCAUCCUGGACCGACAUUGACGCUGAGGAGCGAAAGCUAGGGGAGCAAACGGG
rnacentral:rRNA from 1 species